CAGAAGCGCGGGAGGGUGCGAGAAUUCACCAGAGCCAGAGCGGGGAGCAGAGCAGGCAGAAGGACCGAAGUACACUGCUGAGGGGAGCAGCGGAAGGCAGGAGAGGUCUGCGCGCCAUGUGGGACCCUCCUCCGGUGGCCGGGGAGCAGCCAGGGAUCGAACCGGUGCUGCAGAGGCCGCGGGCAGCUUUGCAACCCAGCGUUCAACCGCUGCGCCACUGGGGAGGCCCUAUCAAAUACAGUUUUGCUGCUUGCAACAUGAGUGAGCAACUCCUGGACAUUCAUUCAUUCAGCAAGCCUUGGCACUACUGAGCCUUAACUCUGCUCCUGGAGCUGAGCUAGAAGCCGAGGAGAAGGGUAGAAGAGGAUGCCAUGGAACUGUGGUUGGAGUCUGGCUGGGAGUGAACAUGCCAUAGCUUUGUCAUGCUGCUUUCCGACACGGAUUUCAGUAUUUUAUCAUUCUUUGCAAGUAAAGCUUGGACCUGCUUCUUUCCCUUUGAAUGCCGAGGGCUUGGUUUCCAGCUUCCUUUGCUGGAAGGCAUAUUAUGAAAUAGGAUGUACCUUCAGAGAUGCAGGAUUUAUUUAUUUAUGCAUACAAGAACUGGAGUACAGGCUAGAGGUGCGGGGGGUGAGAGGAUUCACCAGAGACCACGUGGGGAGCAGAACAAGCAGAUUGACUGAAAUACACAGAUCUGCUGUGAUGGAUAUCUUCAAACAAUAGUAUCAACAUUAUUGUUUAUGAAAAUGGUAUUCCUGGAAUCAGGUGAACUCAGAGCAUGCAACCUUAUUUGGUGGCCCCAAUUCAACAACAUACAGUAGCCAGACCACACCAUUAAAGGAAACUUGUUUAAUUUCUUGAUAUGAAGGCUGUCUCCUGUGCACACCUAUCCUUGGCCUCCAUGAGGCACUGUGAAGGAGAUCAGGAGCUCAAUGGUCUGAGGAUGUUACAUGUGGAAUGCAGGUUUACCCACCCUACGGUGUGUUCCAUCUCCCUCCAGUCUCAUGACAAGAGCGAUGCAAUGACAUUCAUUUUGAAGUCGUGAGUGAAAGAGAUGUGGAAACUGAGAUUCAAGGAAGUUAACUAUCCACUAUGACAGCUAAUAUAUGGUGCUUCCCUGAUUUACUUGUUUAGAAGCAGCCAUUGGGAGCAAAACUUUGUGACUCAGCUUUGGUGAUGCAGUCCAGCUGGGGACUGACAGGUCAUUUUUCAGCUUACUGGUAAUGAACAAAACAGGUCUGAUAAUUUUCAAUAAUAUACUCAGGAAACGUGUGGUGCAGGACUGCAGCUUUCAAGCAGUUGACACAGAAAUCUAGUUCAAUCAGUGUCGAGAGCCAUGCCUGAAGACACUGCCUGUGUUUGGGGACCAGCCAGGAGAGCUGCAUCAGCCACAACAAGGCCAUAUUUUGACUGGUUUUCAUCAAUUUGACUUGAGUGGGUUUUUUACUCCCUUUCUUUUUCUGCCUCUCGUAAAAGUAUUUGGCUUCGAAGCAGAAAAAGAAUUCUUUCGUUGUAACUCAAAAGUCCUCUCUUAUUGUCUCACAUAAAAUGUGGGCUGGAGGAGUUACCUUAUGGUUUGGCUCCCGGUUAAAAGUAAGCAAGAGUCGAACAGCAGGGAAAAAUAUUAAAUGACCACUUGUGUUUCUCUUCUUUAUUCUUAGUCUGAAACUGUAGUGCUUAUACCCUUUUGCCCCGAGUAAAAUUUCCCCCAUAGCAUGAAUUUGGGGGUCUGAGAGAAGCACAUGAUUUCCUUUGUCCGUGGGAGUGCCCCAAAUAGCACACCCCCAAAGAAAAAUGCCAACAUCUUAAGGGAAUGGUUCUGACUGAGGUCCUCCAACAUCUAAUACUAUGUGCUGACUCAGGAAAAUGGGGCAACAUGCUGAAAACAUUUGCAGGCCUGGAAAAUAACUGGUUUAAUAACUCAAGAUGCUUUUAAGUUACCAAAAAAUACAUAAAAACAAAUAAACCUCCUUUUCCAAAAGUAAUGUUGUAAGGCAAUCUACUCCUGAAGUGAAAUAACAGAGCUUGCAAUCAAAUGCAAAUUCAGCUUGUGAAACUCCUUGACAAGUGACAAAGAACCUCAGGACCCCACAACCCAAAUAGAUGAAUACAAAUGUCUAUUUCAUGACUUCAAAAUAUUUAGAUAAAAGGUGAAAAAUUUAGUCAAUACCGCAGAUGUAUCUUCAUCUAAUGGUCAUACAAUAGUAUUGCUUCCAAAACGAUUUUCCAUGUAU